UACGAAGGGUGCAAGCGUUAAUCGGAAUUACUGGGCGUAAAGCGUGCGCAGGCGGUCUUGCAAGACAGAUGUGAAAUCCCCGGGCUCAACCUGGGAACUGCAUUUGUGACUGCAAGGCUGGAGUGCGGCAGAGGGGGAUGGAAUUCCGCGUGUAGCAGUGAAAUGCGUAGAUAUGCGGAGGAACACCGAUGGCGAAGGCAAUCCCCUGGGCCUGCACUGACGCUCAUGCACGAAAGCGUGGGGAGCAAACAGG
rnacentral:rRNA from 1 species